GCGCACACUCCUCUCUUCCUGGUAAGUUUCCCUUUACCCAUUUCACUCCCAAGUAACUCCUUUCACUAAGGUAACUUCCUUUUAACCCUUUUUACCACAGUAACUAAUAUUUACUGUGGUAACUUUCUUCACCCAAGUAACUUCAACACUCCACAACUACUCCUCAUCUCAACACUCCCCCUCAAGCUUAGCUUUGUGA
rnacentral:lncRNA from 1 species